GGGAGGGGAUGCCCCGUUCUGUGGGCAGCCGGUUAAAGGGGAAAUGUGUGGAUUCGGGGUGGCGGCUGGUGGAAGGCCCGAGGCUCUCCUGUGGUGCUGUAGGUGGUUCAGCUGAGAACGUUGCCGUGGUCCUGGUGUCUGGCUGGCACUGGGAAACCAGCAGAGAGCAAAGUUAAGGGGAAGGAGGAACGGGGGCAGGAAGGCAGGCGACCCUCAUGUCUGGAGAAGGUUUCCUUUGGGGACAAGGCCCAGGCUCCAGCUGCUGUCGUUGCCUGCAGGGCGGCUGUGGGAGACUGAAAUCCCUCUGGUAUAGAACUUGCGUUCAGCCCCUUGUUUCCCUGGGACUCCUGCGAAGGCCAAGUUCACUCCUGCCUUUGGCUGCUGAGAGCCUGAAGUGGGCAGCUGGAGGAGAAAUGGACCCUGUGCUCUGGAGCAGUGGCCCUGAGGAGGAGACCCAGCCACCAGGGAUAAGGUGGCACAGACCAGCUUGGGCUCAGCUGGGCCGGAGGCAGCAGCCGCCAACCUCGCCGGGCCUCACAAGGGUUUGCAGACAACCGUUAUGACAACCCCAAUGGUCACCUGGGUACUUGCUGGGACACUUUGGAAGGCACAGGACGGGGGACAGACACUGGAUGGGAUGCCUGACCUCAGAAGGUUUUCAACCCUGAGCUGCGCUCCUUGUCUCCCAGACCUACUAGCCAGGCGCGUGACCCUCAGGGGGUCGGUUUUCUAAGCAGUGAGGUGGUGAGGGGGAGGCCGGGCUGCCUUUGAUCCUGCUGGGCCCAUCAUCCCUCCACCCUCCGCCCCAAGGCCUGGCCCAGGAGGUAGAUGGGCGAAAGGCCCUUCCUGUUACAGGAAGAGAAAGGACCAGCAGGGAAUCAGGAGGUCCUGGAAGAGGCCACCUCCCCUCUCGGCUCUCCAGAUGCCCUGUCCCUGAGUGCCAGCAGCUGGGCAUGGGGCACACGGGCUCCCACCCCUCUCCCCAGCUCCGGGACCUCACCUCUAGGAUGUCAGCAGCUGGGAUGUCCAUGGCUUCUGUCCCUCCGUAGUACAGAUACUGCAUCAUCAUCUGCGGUGAGAAGAGACCCCGUGUGAACACCAGACCCACAGGUCCUGUGUCCUUAUCUGCCUCCAGCAGAGUGCCGCUCUCCACCCUGGGCCUGGCUGAGCCCUCCGUCCUUCCGCAGGUGGAGGCGCGCACGUCCCCCAACUCCCUGAGGCUACUCUUUGUGUCUGUGCAGUUUCCAGAAGUCAGCCCUGAGAUUCUCCCUCCUGAUCGACUGCGUGUAGGACAGGCCUCCUUCCAUGGGGUAGCUCCACUCUGAUCCUCAGGACAGCCCAGUGAGCCCAGAAAGGUACUAUUCACAGAUGGGGAAACUGAGGCCCAGGAUGGGGGAAAGCAGCAUGGCUCGAGUCACUUGGGUCUCCUGAUUCCCACAUCAGACCCCUAGGUGGCACGCUGCACAUUUCUCUCACCUACAUUCUAAAUAUGGGCCCGGGAUGGGGGCGCUGCCCUCAGAAGCUGCUUCCAGUUUUCCUGUCUGUGCUGGGACUCCAAUGUGGAGGUGAGAGCCAGACCCUGUCUCCCCGCUAGAUUUGUUCCCUUGGACGGCAAGCACAGAGCUGGGGUUGGGAUCUGCUCCAGAGGUCAGCUCGCCCCCCUGCCCAGACCUGCCUGGGGCUUCUGGGAACAGAGGGUCCAGGAUAUCAAAUGAGGUGGCCCAGGAGUGGGUAAUGACAUUUAAUUUUGUUGAGGUCUAAGUUACGAACUCUGCCAUCACACUGGAGGCUGGGAAGUUCCCCGCUGGAAAAAGAAGUGGUUUGCACCGGUUGGCUGAAGAACAGCCCCAGCAAGGAGCUGGCAAGUGUGUGAGUAAACGCGGCUCCUGCCGGCACAGUCGGCCUCUGCUAGCAGUGGCCCCUGGGCUGGAAGAGGCACCAGAGGGUCUAGGGAAGGAGCCCAGCUCCGGGGAACGGGAGUGCGGAGAUGGGCCUGGCCAGUCUGUCCAGGCCCAAGGUUGGUGCCCGAGACCGCCAUCCCUCCCCUCCCCCCAGAGAGGCCUUCUGCAGCCCCUGCUGGAGCACGCGGUGUGCUCCGUGUGUCUGUCACUCCAGGAGGCGUGUGCCCCGGCGGGCCCACCCCCCCGCCCCCCAGGGCCUGGGCUCCGAGCUGUUCAGGACCGCACCGCAGGACAGCCCUGGAUGAGCUGGGGCAAAAGCCCCUGGCCCAGGGCUGGGAGUGGAGUGGGCGGGUGGGCAGGAGCUCCCAGGAUUGGAGGCUAAGAGAUGGCCUCAGGGAAGCCCCUCAGCAAGAGGGGAUGCAGAGGUGUGGGCAGCAACCCGCAGCUCCCCUUCCCAGCCUCCGCCUUUCAGGAGCUGGUUUGGACAAGGCGCAGCCAGCUGUGGCCCGUGGAGCUCCCUGAGGUCACUUGAAUGCAUAUUAGUCCAUGGAAGUCAGACCAGAACUGCUCCCUUGCACUUGCUGAGGGAGCUGGGUGGCCGGCAGGCCGGGCAGAUGGGCUUUGCCCAGCCCGGCAGCCCCCAGGCAGGACGGGGGUCAUGUGGCUCCCAGCAGGCUGCCCGCGGCUCUGGGAAAGGCCCGGGGAAGGUUCAGCUGCAGAGGGGCCGCACGGUUGGCUUCUGGCCCGAACGGGAACCCAGGAACCCGAGCGCAGGAAGGCCACGGACACCGCACGGGUAGGACUGGGGUCAAGCCAGACAGGCAAGCGUCUAGACCCGCUACAGCCACUGGUCACGUGUAGCUUGAAAGCCUGGGAGAGAAGGCUGGUCUGAGUGGAGAUGUGCUGUGUCAGAUACACACUGGACUGGAAGAACUUAGUAUGAGAAAGAAUGUAAAAUACGCCAUUAAUU